AUUGAACGCUGGCGGCAUGCCUUACACAUGCAAGUCGAACGGUAACAGGUUAAGCUGACGAGUGGCGAACGGGUGAGUAAUAUAUCGGAACGUGCCCAGUCGUGGGGGAUAACUGCUCGAAAGAGCAGCUAAUACCGCAUACGACCUGAGGGUGAAAGCGGGGGAUCGCAAGACCUCGCGCGAUUGGAGCGGCCGAUAUCAGAUUAGGUAGUUGCUGGGGUAAAGGCCCACCAAGCCAACGAUCUGUAGCUGGUCUGAGAGGACGACCAGCCACACUGGGACUGAGACACGGCCCAGACUCCUACGGGAGGCAGCAGUGGGGAAUUUUGGACAAUGGGCGCAAGCCUGAUCCAGCCAUGCCGCGUGCGGGAAGAAGGCCUUCGGGUUGUAAACCGCUUUUGUCAGGGAAGAAAAGGUUCUGGUUAAUACCUGGGACUCAUGACGGUACCUGAAGAAUAAGCACCGGCUAACUACGUGCCAGCAGCCGCGGUAA
rnacentral:rRNA from 1 species